rnacentral:rRNA from 1 species
CUCAGUUCGGACUGGAGUCUGCAACCCGACUCCACGAAGCUGGAUUCGCUAGUAAUCGCGCAUCAGCCACGGCGCGGUGAAUACGUUCCCGGGCCUUGUACACACCGCCCGUCAAGCCAUGGGAGCCGGGGGUACCUGAAGUGCGUAACCGCGAGGAGCGCCCUAGGGUAAAACUGGUGACUGGGGCUAAGUCGUAACAAGGUACC